rnacentral:rRNA from 1 species
UACGAAGGGUGCAAGCGUUACUCGGAAUUACUGGGCGUAAAGGGUGCGUAGGUGGUUCGUUAAGUCUGAUGUGAAAGCCCCGGGCUCAACCUGGGAAUUGCAUUGGAUACUGGCGGGCUAGAGUGCGGUAGAGGGUAGUGGAAUUCCCGGUGUAGCAGUGAAAUGCGUAGAUAUCGGGAGGAACAUCCGUGGCGAAGGCGACUGCCUGGACCAGCACUGACACUGAGGCACGAAAGCGUGGGGAGCAAACAGGAUUAGAUACCUGGGUA